AACUCCUGACCUCAAGUGAUCCGCCCACCUCGGCCUCCCAAAGUGCUGGGAUUACAGGCAUGAGCCACCGCUCCGGGCCCUUGCACAUAUUUUUUUAUGAACACACAGGCAGCAGCACUUUGAUUACAGUAACUUACAUGGAAGUUAUUUUAAAAUGGCUUUCCCCUUCUCUUUUUCAUGUAGGCUGCAUUUUUCAUCUGCAGCACGCUUUCUCUCAAGAAUCUCAAGCACACACAAGAAACCAGAGAGUAAAAUCACUGAGGCGUGAACACAUCCAGAGACCAAGGGCGUCACUGGCAGAAAAGCUUUUAGGCGGAUCCACGGCCCGAGAGCCACCCUGCCCAGAGACGCGGUUUCCUAGGAGCAGUUCACACGCGGCUCUGCAGCACCCACAAGCGGGGCCAGGGGCUGGUUUUCAUAGUUCACAGUCUGCAGGGAUCUUAACAAAAACAUGGCCGUGGUAAAAGUGCCUAGACCAGGCUUUCGUCACAACUCAUCAUGUUACUAGGUUAGGAUAAUAAAAAGGACUGUGAACUUCACAUCUGCCAUCUAUAAUAGAUUCUUAUUGUAGCAAUCUUGCACCAAGGGGAUUUCUUUAUUAACUCUGCCAAAUUUUCCAAAAUUACCAAAUGGAGAAAAGAGCUGGUCCCAUCUGUCACCAGGCACAACCAGGAAGUGUCAGAAGACUUUCAGAAGCACAUGCAGUUGCAGCUCCAGUGUUUCAACAGUUGCCCAUUUCCAAGGCCUCCUAAAUACGUAUGAGGCCUGUGGACAACUUUCUCCUCAGCUGUUACAGAACCUGGACAACUUGUAGUGAAGACCUUCCACACCAGUAACAUAUUUUGGUGAGCCAGUCGGGAGGAGGCUAAAAAACUUGCCCAACGUCACAUGGCUGGGAGUGGAAGAGCCAGGAAGAGUCCAGGAGGUAUGACUCCAGACCAGGCCUCUGGACCACUGCACUCCCACUACCUCUCCAGGCAGGGAUGCAGUCAUCAGUCAAUAGAAGCAGUCCACACAAACCAACCCUAUAAAAAAUUAACUCUCUAACUGGAGAGUUAGAUGAAGGACACACUGUGGGCAAGGUGGGAACAGACACCCCCUAAGACAGCACUUCCCGAAUACUGCAGAGGAUACAGCAAAGCACCUCACCUCUCUUAGAAGCUCAUGCCUGUCACACCAAGGGCCCAUUAUGGACCAUCAUAAUCACCCACAACCAAUUUGGCUGAACAAACUUUCAAGUUUAUCAGAUCAAUGAUACUAUUUAAUCUUGAGAAAUGUGUAAAUCCUGGCAUUUCAAGAUGAUGUUUCCUGCAUGCAGACUUGGAUUCAGUAGACCAGAGCAGCUGGAGAUGCUGCAUUUCCAACCAGCUUCCACAAAUGCGAUGUUGCUGGUCCACGAACCACACUCUGAGCAGCAGGGAUUCGGUGAGGGUUUUCCUUCCUGACAGAGCUCACCAUUCAGUUUAGAAAAAUUUAAGGACAAAUGCAUCCCCAAACACAACUAAAUGUCAAAUGUUAAAAAUACGGAAAACAUGAGCAAACAAUCUGCUCCUUUCCAAUUUCUAAGUAGUUAUCAACUCUUACCAUAUCAGAUUUCCAGUGGAAUUUACAAAAAAAAAAAAGGGGGGGGGAGGCAGAACUGACACCCAACAAUUUAAAGCUAACAAACCUUGAAACAUAAAUGAUAUUUGAGAAAAGGUAGUAGGAAGCAGUGAUAAAGAACUAAUUGUUCUGAUGGGAAAACAAAAUUGGCCAUUUGCUACUUUCCUAAACAUUUCCUCCCCAGUUGUUACUUUUAUAGUAGGGUUCCAUUAUGUUGUUACCUGCAAUCUCAACUAUCCAGAAUUUCAGAGACAAAAUUUCAAGUUACAGAAAAGAUUUGUUUUAUGUCUAAGAAUUACUUUAAUUUAAAAAAAAG
rnacentral:lncRNA from 1 species